UACGUAGGGGGCAAGCGUUGUCCGGAAUCAUUGGGCGUAAGAGCGUGUAGGCGGCUCGAUAAGUCUGCUGUGAAAGUCCAGGGCUCAACCCUGGAAGGCCGGUGGAAACUGUCGGGCUAGAGUCCGGAAGAGGCGAGUGGAAUUCCCGGUGUAGCGGUGAAAUGCGCAGAUAUCGGGAGGAACACCAGUGGCGAAGGCGGCUCACUGGACCGGAACUGACGCUGAGGCGCGAAAGCGUGGGGAGCAAACGGGG
rnacentral:rRNA from 1 species